rfam:Synechococcus phage S-CAM9 isolate 1109NB16, complete genome.
GGGCGAUUAACUCAGCGGUAGAGUGGCCUCCUUACAAGUGGUAAGUCACUGGUUCGAUUCCAGUAUCGCCCA